AUUGAACGCUGGCGGAAUGCUUUACACAUGCAAGUCGAACGGCAGCACGGGGGCAACCCUGGUGGCGAGUGGCGAACGGGUGAGUAAUACAUCGGAACGUGCCCGGUCGUGGGGGAUAACGUAGCGAAAGUUACGCUAAUACCGCAUACGAUCUGAGGAUGAAAGCGGGGGACCUUCGGGCCUCGCGCGAUCGGAGCGGCCGAUGUCAAAUUAGGUAGUUGGUGGGGUAAAGGCCUACCAAGCCGACGAUCUGUAGCUGGUCUGAGAGGACGACCAGCCACACUGGGACUGAGACACGGCCCAGACUCCUACGGGAGGCAGCAGUGGGGAAUUUUGGACAAUGGGCGCAAGCCUGAUCCAGCCAUUCCGCGUGCAGGACGAAGGCCUUCGGGUUGUAAGCUGCUUUUGUAUGGAACGAAAAGGCUCUGGCUAAUACCUGGGGCUCAUGACGGUACCGUAAGAAUAAGCACCGGCUAACUACGUG
rnacentral:rRNA from 1 species